rnacentral:rRNA from 1 species
AUUGAACGCUGGCGGCAUGCCUUACACAUGCAAGUCGAACGGUAACAGGUUAAGCUGACGAGUGGCGAACGGGUGAGUAAUAUAUCGGAACGUGCCCAGUCGUGGGGGAUAACGUAGCGAAAGCUACGCUAAUACCGCAUACGAUCUACGGAUGAAAGCGGGGGAUCGCAAGACCUCGCGCGAUUGGAGCGGCCGAUAUCAGAUUAGGUUGUUGGUGAGGUAAAAGCCCACCAAGCCUGCGAUCUGUAGCUGGUCUCAGAGGACGACCAGCCACACUGGAACUGGGACCGGGUCCAGACUCCUACGGGAGGCAGCAGUGGGAUUUUUGUACAAGGGACGCAAGUCUGAUCCAGCAGUGCCGCGUGCAGGACGAACGCCUUCGGGUUGUAAACUGCUUUUGUACGGAACGAAAAGGUCUCUCUUAAUACGGGGGGCUCAUGACGGUACCGUAAGAAUAAGCACCGGCUAACUACGUGCCAGCCGCCGCCGUAA